rnacentral:rRNA from 1 species
CCUACGGGUGGCAGCAGUGAGGAAUAUUGGUCAAUGGCCGGAAGGCUGAACCAGCCAUGUCGCGUGAAGGUCAGUGCCCUAUGGGCGUUAAAAUUCUUUUAUGCGGGAGCAAUAAUGGUCACGUGUGGCCAGACGAGAGUACCGUACCAAUAAGCAUCGGCUAACUCCGUGCCAGCAGCCGCGGUAAUACGGGGGAGGCAAGCGUUAUCCGGAUUUAUUGGGGUUAAAGGGUGCGUAGGUUGUUUUUUAAGUAAGGGGGGAAAGUUUGUGGAUCAAACAUAAAAUUGCCGUUGAAACUGGAAGACUUGAGUGUGUUUGAGGUAGGCGGAAUGCGUGGUGUAGCGGUGAAAUGCAUAGAUAUCACGCAGAACUCCGAUUGCGAAGGCAGCUUACUAAGCCAUAACUGACACUGAAGCACGAAAGCGUGGGGAUCAAACAGGAUUAGAUACCCGUGUAGUC